GGUCGGUUAGCUCAGUUGGUUAGAGCGCUACGUUGACAUCGUAGAGGUCACAGGUUCGACUCCCGUAUCGACCA
rnacentral:tRNA from 1 species